UUUCGCGCAAAGGCAGGCAAACGUGGGGGGCUGAUCUCUUCUCAGUAAGCCCAGGACAACCCCCACCCCCAGCCUCACGCGAGGUCAGGGGCGGGGUGGGAGGUACAGAUGCUGGGAGAAGUGCCUUAGGGAUCAAAGAGAAUGCGUCUGUGGGGCGUGCGGGGCCCCCAACCGCCUCGGAAUCCCGCCUUUCCUCCCCUCCCCCACCCCUACCGUCUGGGGCGGUUAGUGACCCGCAACUCGCGUCCUUAACCAACCGCCGGGCUUGGAGUUUCCCGCCAAAUCACGGGCUCUCCGGGAACAAAAGAAGUGGAGCCCUGCCUGAAGGCACGUCCUGCGGAAAUUCCCCACGGGCCCACCCAAGCCCUGGAAGCAUCUUUAAAUCCUCCGUGACGGGGACACUCAAAGAGCUGUUCUGUGAUGCUGGAUCUAGACCUAGCGGUUCAGCCCUUCUUUCCCCCUCCAAUUCCUCCACUCCUCCCGCCUCAUUUUACAGACUGAAAAAUAGUCGUGUUCCAGGACGUACAGCCUGAGUGCACGCCAGAAGGAAGCCACAAAGACUGGGAAUACAACCCAGCAAAAUUCUCGAUCUUCACAAAUGUAUCCCUAAAAGGAAUGUAUCUUCAAAUGCUUUGGCUCCCCAACUGAGAUUUCGUCAGUAUUCAGAGAUCUCCGGGGCGGGAACUUUCUCUCAACUUGUUAGUAAUUUACAGUCUGCGAGAGAGCUGUCUAGACUUAAGUGACUUGCCGGGAGGUUACCGAGACAUCUAGAUGUCAGAAUUUAUAAUGUUUCUGUAAUUAAUAAGCGGUUGUGGAGGUCAUGACGUGUCUAUACUGUGGGCAAGGUGUGUCGGGGCUAGCUAUAAUCGAUCAUGGCUCUGGAGCCUGGGACGAUAUGCCCACAAUGGAACUUUUAAAAGAGAUCGAGACAGAGACAGACACCCAGAGGGAGGAAGCGGCUUAGCUGAGAGGACUUCUUGACUCUGCCUUUUAAUAGUGAACAAUAAAAAUUUCAUUUUGAAUAUUUAAAAAAAAAGGAGGGAGGAGAGGAAAGUGAGAGACAGAGACAGGUGGACAGACAGGUACAGAGACCGAAUGGGCAGAGACAAAUUCGGAGACCUCGGUUAAGUGGAAAUCGGUAAGAAUUCAAUGGGUUAGUACUCACCUCGAGAUAGCUUUCUAUUCUAACAUUAUUGCUAGCUAGCUAGCUAGAUGGAUGGAUAGAUAGAUAUUGUUUAAGUGCUGUAUUCCUCUAAUGGAAUGUAUCUCCUUGAUUAAUUUCACUUUUGUUUCUUGAGUGGGGUUCAGCCAGGAGACACAAAUAGUUCCUAACAGGACUGGGAGUCCUGAUCUUAGCACCCAGUUUGCAAUCAAGUAAUCUGAGGACAAAGACAAAAGCCAUUGCUGCCCCAGCCUUUAAGGACAUUACAGUCCAGUCAGGAAAUGCAUGUAUAUCAUAGUUAUACACAAAAUAGUGUAUAUGUAGACACAUAUAGCUAUAUAUAUAUGUAUAUCAAGAUAUUGAACUAUAUAUAGACUAGAUAUAGAUAGAAAUGGCUAUAUAACUAUAGCUAUAUUUACAUAUAUAUACUAUCUAGCUAUAUCAAGAUAUUGACCCAUAUAAAUAUAAACUAGAUAGGUAUAUAUAGCAAUAUAUCUCUAGAUAUAUGCCUAGUUAGAGAUAGACACUAUUUUGUGAAUAACUAUAGAUGUACAUGUAUUUCCUGGCUGGUCUAUAAUCUCAUAAAGGUAUGGGCCUAUUUUAGCUUUGGGUCCUUAGCAUCAAGCAUAGGAGCAGGAUUUGUUACUGAUUGCUUGAUUGCAAAUUGGGUGCUAAGAUCUAGAAUCUAGGGAGUGUUAGGGCCUUGUAGCUGAACCCUGCUUAAGUAACAUUUCUAACAAAUACAGAAACAAAAUUAGUCAAGAAGCUUACUUUCUACUAGAGGAAUACAAUAGGUAAAUAGAUAAGUAAACCAAAAAUAAUUUGAGAUGGAGAGAGAGAGAGAGAGAGAGAGAGAGAGAGAGAGAGAGAGAGAGAGAGAGAGAGAGAGAGAGAGAGAGAGAGAGAGAAGAGAAGAGAGGUGGGGAAGGGGAGAGAGGAAAAGGGAUUAUAUUCUGAUUUAUUUCCUGUCAAAUUGGCCUACUUGCCAUUCUCUGCUUUUGGUAUUGUUUCCUGUCUCCAUGCUUUUGUAUGAGUUACCUCGGGCAACUAGAUAGCUUGGUGAAUAGAGAACAGUGGGCCUGGAAUCUGAAAGACCAGAGUUUAAAUCUAGCCUCAGAUACUUCUUAGUUGUGUGACCCUGGGCAAGUCACUUAACCUCUGCUUUAAUUCACUAGAGAAACAAAUAGCAACCACUCCAGUAUCUUUGCUAAGAAAACCCCAUAGACAAUAUUGUUUCUUGUGGCCCUGAAGAGUUGGAUAUGACUGAACAGCAACAACAAAUAAACCCAUGCUUGGGAUAUACGCCAUUUUUUCUGUUUUUUAGCAUCCUUAGUUUUAUACUUUAAGAAAUGAUUUUUUAAAGAGGACAGAUUCAGAGAAACCUGGGAAGACUUGUUUGAACUGAUGCACAGGAAGGAAAAUUUAUACAGUGAUCACAAUAAUGUAAAGGAAAACAACUUUGAAGGAUUUAAGAACAGUGAUUAAUUCAGUGACCAGUCAUAGUCAUACUUAAGAAGACUAAAGAUGAAGUAUGUACCUCAUCCCUUGGCAGAGAAGUGAUAGUCUAUAAAACCUAUUUUAUUCUUUUAGUUUUAUCUUUAUUUUAAUAAGAAAUUUACAAAUAAGUUUUCCAAAGUUAUAUGAUUCAUGUUGUCCCCCUACCUUCUUCCCUCCCCAUCUCAGAGUUGACAAGCAAUUCAAUCUGUAUUGUGUAUAUGUAUUAUCACUCAAAACAUAUUUCCAUGUUACACAUUUUUGUAAGGGAAUCUUAUAAAACCAAAACCCCAAAUCAUAUAUCUAAACAAACAAGUGAUAAAUUAUGUUUCCAUCUGCAUUUAUACUUCAACAGUUCUUUCUCUAAAAAGGUGGAUAGCAUUCUUUCAUAAGUCCUUCAGAAUUGUCCUAGAUCAUUGUAUUGCUGUUAGUAGCAAAGUCUGUCAUGUUUAAUUGUCCCACAAUAUUGCUGUUGUAUAAUGUAUAAUAUAAUUGUGUGUAAUGUU